AGCCCAUCCCGUAGCCUCCCCCACCCCCAUCUCGACCACGAGCACGCCCCAACCCCAACCCUAGCCGGUACCGCUUCCUCCCUGCCUCUGGCCGGCGCCGCCCAGACGGGCUCCUCCUCUAACCGCCCCGGCCCCCGCUGGCUCCUCCCGGCGGCCCCCGGGGUAAUUGUUAAGAAAUCUUGCUAAGUCAAGGACUCAUACGCCUAGAGUCGAAUUCCGUUUUCCGCUAAGGAUCUCAAAAAUGAUAACACCAAAGCUGAAGACGUCGGAUUUGAUAGAGAAGACGCCCUCAGAAGCAUAUUCAGGGGCCAUGUAGCCACUAAAAUGUGUUCCCUUCCGUAUUAUCAGAGCUGAAUAUUUUUGCAAGCCCGAAGUCUGCAAUUUUCGGAUUCAUUUCGGCGUCCAAGAGAAUGUUGCCUGGUUUAAGAUCUCGAUGGAUGACACGCAAACGGGAGUGCUUAUGUAGGAGGGGUUCAUGCCCUACCCUCUCUUGGCCCUGUGUUUGGUCCCUGUGACUUCACCAGGCUGCCUCAAAUUUACUGUUUGGGUUUUGCUCGCCAACACAUCUUGCUAGCUCACACGCAGUUCAUGUUUUGUUGGUGUACGCAAAAAUUGCAGAAAAUCAUGAAUGAGGACAUGCAUGCAUACUCUGUCGUUUUGUUCGAGUCGGAGCUGGUGCUGGCGCUAAUGGUGCCUUGUGAUGCAGCAUGGGUUCGCCUUUGUAGAACACUGACACCUCAUACCUCAAAGAACACCAUAUGACAUGGAUCUGUGCUCCAAUGCGACGGGACAUGGUGGAGUUGAUAGUGUCGAGGAGAUGAUGCAAGCACGACAUGCAGUCAUCGGCAGACAAAUCUGGCCUGCAUUGUGCCAAGGAGUACACCAUGGGGAAGCUCGUUCUACUGUCCAUGAGACCCGUGGCAAACCUACUUGGGGUCAUUCU